GAAAAGAUUAUUUUGACUUUUUAACAAUACAUUAAAUUUUUGUGAUAAAGAUUAAAUUUAUUUUUAUUUUUUGUAGGGCUGGGGAAGGGGUGUGCAGCAAACGCCCUUCAUCUACAGUCAAUGUGUACAUAUCUAGGAUUUAUCAUGUCGACAAAAUUCAAUGAAAAAUUGAAAUUGCAAAAAGAAGAGAAUUGAGAAAAAAGCAAGACGUUGGCGUUAACAAAGAAAUUCUGUAGUUAUUUUGUCAAAUGAAGUUGGAUCAGAAGGUGGUAACAGUAUUUUUGAACCUUUUCUUAAUCAGAAUAAUAUAUUGUGUGUUGCAAGUAAUGUAUCUGAAUCCAAUCGUUUUUUGUCACGAAAAGCUGGAAAUCCUUAUUUAGAAAAUGCAAAUGAAUUGUGUUCAGAUAAUACAUUUCCUCUUCUGUCUGAAGGUUUUUAUUUACAAACAAAUAAUGCUAAUGAUGCUGAUUUUAAAAAUGAUUAUGGUCUGUGUUCAAAUUUAGUUUGUGAAAAUAGCUCAAUCAGUUCCAUAUUAGAUGAUGAAUAUCAAUUUGACAAAAAAACUUUGGAGAGAUAUAAAAUCUUUGGCUUUAAAACACUCUUUGACAAGACAAUGUGUUAAUGAUUUGAUCAGAAUUUUUAUCAAAAAAAGUUGUUCCUUGCCAAAAGAUUGCCGUACGUUAUUUGGCACAAAAAAAUAAAAUAUUAUUCAAUUGCAAAAUAAUGAUGGAGAAUAUAUUUAUUUUGGCAUAAAAAGCAAUUUAGAAAGAAUUUUAACUUUUUUUAAUCAUAAUUCAGAAAAAAUAAAUCUGAAAAUUAAUAUUGAUGGGAUCCCAUUAUGGAAAUCAAGUUCCUAUCAACUUUGCCAAUUUUGGUCCAGUUUAGAGUUUUUCAUCCUAUUGUUGUCAAGGAUUUUGGUGGUAACAAAAAACCAAAUUUUGAAGUUAUUCUGUUUGAUUUCAUAAUAGUUAAAAGAACUAGUUGCUAAACCUGUUCAAAUAAAUGGCAAUCACUAUGAGAUAUCUAUAUUUUGUUUUACAUGUGAUGCACCUUCUAGAUCUAUGUUAAAAGGUAUAGUACAACGCACAGGAUAUUUUUCAUGUGAGAGAUGUACCAUAAAAGUUCAAGUUCAAGAAAAAAUCAUCAAAUUGUGUUUAAUGACCAAGAUGAUAAAGUUGUUUUACGUACCAAUGAGUUGUUUCGGGAUAAUAAAUAUUGUGAGCCUGACAACAAAGGUAAACGUCAUCAGUUAAAUCAGUCACCUCUUGUUGAACUGCCAUUUAAUAUUAUAAAUGAUUUUUCACUUGAUUACAUGCACUUGGUUUGUCUUGGAGUAAUGAGACAAAUUUUAUAUUUUUAUAAAGGAAUGUUUAAAGGCGUUUUUGAAGGGAGUCUAUCCUCUGUACAGCUAAAUGUUUUAUCUGACCGUUUAGUUGCUUUGAAUGGCAAAAUGCCAACUGAGUUUGUUCGUCAACCAAGAUCUCUUUCAGAAUUGGACAGGCGGAAAACAACUGAGUUAAGAAGUUUCCUGGAUUAGUUGUUUUAAAAGUCAGCUUUGGUCAGCAUGGUUAUUAUUGAAAACAAGCAAGAAGUCAAAACUGUUGCACCGCGUCCGUGGGCGGAUUUAAAAAAUAUGAUUUUGUACUGGCCACCAAAACACAAAGUGUUAAGUUUAGCAGCCGUGGCGCAGUGGUAGCGCACUUGCCUCAGAAACGUAAGAUCCGUGGUUCAAACCCCACCUCUGGGCAAGUCUUGCGAUAUCGGUUGGGAAGGAGGCGUGAACUUCCCAUUAAAUGCUCUUCCGCGAUGCUCUGUGAUAAGACCGUAAGGACUUCUUGGAGCACCUUAAUCAACUAAAAAAAUAAAUAAAUAAAUAAAAGUUUUUAUAUUUCUAGAUGGUCUGCUCCUAAGAGCAACUGGACAAAGUUUGUUAUAGUAAAAGUUUUAUUGGAGUCCAGGCUAAAAUCAGUGGCACAAGAUAAUGAUAAGUUUUUUUUCAACUACAGACAAUGAAAUAGAAGUUGACUCUUGUUCAGAUGUACUGAAGAAAUUGAAGAGAAAAGUGCAAAAUUAGAAGAAAAUCAAGAAGACAUUUCUGAAACAAUUGGAUUGCUUCAAGAUAAUGAUAUGGCGGCCAAUAAUAGUUCAGGCAGUUUAGAAGUGCUUCGAAGCAUUGAAGAAUUUGAGACAAAGGAGAGUAAACUCAAAGACAAUGCUUAUCUUCAGAAGAAGAAAAACCAGAUAAAAGAAAUUGGAGGAAAAGACGCAAGUACAGCAGUAAGGCUUGUUCUUGAUGCAAUAAUGUCACAAGAAAUACAGGAUAGCUUUAGUCUGUAUGGUUUGAAGAACAAGCAGUCUUUUUCAAAGACACUUCACUAUUUGUGUUUAUCAGGUGCUCUAUUUAAUAGCAGCAAGGAAGAUUAUCGUAAAGAUUGGUUAGAUUAUCACAUUAGUGAUAUUUUGAAACAAGCCAUUCGAAACAAAAGAAUUAAAAGUCCGAAACCUGUUGUUACAUUAUAGAUAAAUGGGCCUUCUCAUAUAAAACUCGUUCGUUCUUUGUGGCUUCACAUCAGACGAGCAAGAUUAUUUAUGAUUGUUUUGUUUUUUGAUUUUGUAAAUACAUUUUUCAAAUUCA